rnacentral:rRNA from 1 species
AGCAGCCGCGGUAAUUCCAGCUCCAAUAGCGUAUAUUAAAGUUGUUGCAGUUAAAAAGCUCGUAGUUGAACUUCGGGAUCAAUGGAUUGGUCAUGCCGAUGGUGUGUACUGGUCAUAUUGGUUCUCACCUUCUAAGGAACCAUAAUGUCAUUUAUUUGAUGUUGUGGGGAAUUAGGACUGUUACCUUGAAAAAUUAGAGUGCUUAAAGCAGGCUAACGCUUGAAUACAUUAGCAUGGAAUAAUGAAAUAGGACAUCGCAUUCUAUUUUGUUGGUUUCUAGGAUCGAUGUAAUGAUUAAUAGGGAUAGUUGGGGGCAUUAGUAUUCAAUUGUCAGAGGUGAAAUUCUUGGAUUUAUUGAAGACUAACUACUGCGAAAGCAUUUGCCAAGGAUGUUUUCAUUAAUCAAGAACGAAAGUUAGGGGAUCGAAGACGAUCAGAUACCGUCGUAGU